CACUUCUGUAUCUUCUCCAGUUAUUGUUUCAGUUACAUUCUUCUGACCACAGAGAACUUCAGAAGAAAUCCUGCUGGACUUCCCAAAGUUCAUUGGAGGAAGUAUACGUCACAAUCAUGUCUGGAUAAAGAAACAAAGCAGUCUAGUUCUUCAAAAUGUAAAACGAAGGAAGUUAAUAAAGCUACAAGCAAAGGAUGCAAAAAAUUGGACUUGAAGAAACUUUCUUUGGAUCAUUCAGCUCUCUCCAACAAUCAGGCCUUUAAGACGCAACCAAGGAAAGGGGAACAUCCUGUUCAUGUUCCUUCCGCUGAAAACUCCCAAAAUUUCAGGUCUGCUAACACAUGGAUUUGUAAGAACUCAGCUUGUAAGGCUGUUCUUACCUCAGAUGACACAUUCUGUAAAAGGUGCUCAUGUUGUAUAUGUCAUCUCUUUGAUGACAACAAGGAUCCUAGUCUUUGGUUAGUCUGCACGUCUGAAUCUGGUGACAAGGACUACUGUGGGUUGUCUUGCCAUGUUGAAUGUGCACUCCAGUGCCAAAAGGCAGGAGUUUUCAGUCUUGGACAGUCUAUGCUACUUGAUGGGAGCUACUGCUGUGCUUCAUGCGGAAAGGUUUCUGGAAUUAUAGGAUUCUGGAAGAGGCAACUUUCUGUAGCAAAAGAUGCUCGUCGAGUUGAUGUCCUUUGUUAUCGUAUUUUUUUAAGCUAUAGGCUUCUGGAUGGUACUUCUUGUUUCAAAGAAUUGCACCAAAUUGUAGAGGAAGCAAAGGCAAAGUUAGAAAAAGAAGUUGGUCCAGUGGAUGGAAUCUCAGCCAAAAUGGCCCGUGGCAUUGUGAGCCGGUUGUCUGUUGCUGGUGAUGUUCAGAACCUCUGCUUUGCUGCAAUUGAGAAGGCAGGUGAAUGGAUGAGAUUGAGGUCAACUGAUCUUUUUAAGCAAAAUCACAAAGAUUCACUUCCUGCUGCCUGUAGGUUCCAAUUUAAUGAAAUAACGUCAUCUUCUCUCAUAAUUGUUAUAAAGGAAACUCCUUCAACAGCAUUUGAUGCCAUCAAAGGUUAUAAGCUCUGGUACUGCAAGACCAGAGAUCAAUCCGAUAAGAAGGAGCCUGUGGUCUUCCCAAGGUCUCAGAGAAGGAUUCUAUUUACUAACCUCCAGCCAUGCACGGAAUAUGCAUUUCAGAUUAUCUCAUUCACUGAGGAUGAGGAUUUCGGCCACUCAGAAUCAAAAGUGUUUUACUAAGAGCGUGGAGAUCAUCAACAAGCAUAUAGAGAAUACUGGGGCAGAAGGGUGUUCAUCCAGUGUCAAGCAAAAAGGGACAACAGCAGCUGCCAAACCCUCUGGAUUUCAAGUUCGAAAUCUAGGAAAGAUUUUGCAUCUAGCUAGGGCACAGGAAGAUGGAUACUAUGAUGGUUUAUACGAAGAUGAUGUUGAAGAGGAGUCCUGUGGUGGGAGUGGUGAAGUGAUUGCAGAGGCUGCCAAAGCAGCACCUACCACUUCACGCCGGCUUGAUUUGAAUUUGGCCUUGGUUCCUGAUUUAAAUGAUGAGGUAAUACCAUCAACCGAGUGGUAUCCUGAGGAGGAAAAAGCAUGCUGCUCUGAGAAGAAUGAAUUAGCCAGAUCUAGUGGAAGUGAUGAUUCCCAGACAUGUGCAGUUACAUUGUUCCAUGAAGUGCCUGCAGUGGAAUCUCGACAUGGUUGUGAGAAACAACUACCCACUGGACACGAGGAAGCUUGUGAGGGUGACAGCACUUUGGUCAGUGGGUCACCUAGGAGAUUCCAGUAUAGGUUGGGUCAGUUGGAUGAUAACUUUGAAUACUAUGUGAAGGUAAUAAGAUGGCUGGAGUGCUUGGGGCACAUUGGAAGUGAUUUCCGCAUGAAGUUUUUAACUUGGUUUAGCUUGAGGUCAACGGAGCAAGAACGCAGGGUGGUCAUCACAUUCGUUCAUACAUUGAUUGAAGAGCCCAACAGUUUGGCUGCGCAGUUGCUAGAUUCAUUUUCAGAGAUUGUGACCUGCAAGAGGCUAUGCAGUGGUUUCUGUAGUAAGUUGUGGCAUUAAUGCAAAAGAAAGGACUCGGAGUAUAACUUGCUCGUUCCAUUUAUGUUCUCACGUUUAUUAGGGAGGUUUGUUUAUAUCGGUUUCUUUUACUAUUUGCUACACAGGUUGUUGCUGACAGUGCUCGCUAACAUGGAAGAACUAACAUCAGCUAUUUAUGACCAUUUCAUCAAUAUCGACCUUCGCAUUUGUUCUUGGUUCAGGGCCUCUAAGACCAACAUUGAUGACUGUUAACAGUUCAGUUAUUUUUGCAUCAAUCCAUCAACAAGUGCGAGCAUCUAAUGUUGCUGUCCUCUGUCACCACUAGAAGGUUCUUGAUGCUUUCAACCUUGAAUAGUCAUGGUUUUUUUCUUUGCUUCUUUUUUGCGCUUGCUUACCCAAUAUAUUUACUAGAUUAAUGUUGUAAAAUGAUAGAAUUGUGAGAAAGAAUGGUUCCAUUACCUUGACCUUCUGGUACCAUGGUUGGCUGUCUCUCAACUUUGCUUGCUAAUUAAUGUUAGCUCAGCCACGUCUACUUGAAUGUCUCCACCAAAUUUUGACUGUGGUUGUAUGUCUUCCUUGAUUGAUAAGAUGAAGCCACAGAAGCAAUCCCAUUA